rnacentral:rRNA from 1 species
UACGUAGGGUCCGAGCGUUGUCCGGAAUUAUUGGGCGUAAAGGGCUCGUAGGCGGUCCGUCACGUCGGGAGUGAAAACUCAGGGCUCAACCCUGAGCGUGCUUCCGAUACGGGCGGACUAGAGGUAUGCAGGGGAGAACGGAAUUCCUGGUGUAGCGGUGGAAUGCGCAGAUAUCAGGAGGAACACCGGUGGCGAAGGCGGUUCUCUGGGCAACAACUGACGCUGAGGAGCGAAAGCGUGGGGAGCGAACAGG